CUUCCCAGGUGCUGCUGACGAAGGAGGGCAUCACCCUGAGCAGGUCUUCCUUGUCUUCCUCCCGGAUCACAGGGAUGGUCUCCAGGAUGAGUUGCAUCUGCUCCAGCUCAUGGGCCCCUGGGGAGGCAAUGCCAGAUGGAGCUUGGGAAGAGCAACUUUGAGAGAAGCUGAUGAAGUAAAUCCACGCUGGGGAUUUAUGUCCUAAUCAUCCCUGAGUGAUUCUUUGUGAUAGAUGUCACUUGGGGGAGGCAUUUUAACACUGAGUCUAAUAAGCCACCACUGAAAAUGGGAGAAGGUAUGAAGGAUGGUCAAUGUUCCUUUCUUACUUAAAGAAUGUCCUUUCCAUGUCACACUGUUGCCUUCCCUGCCUCUCUUGCAACAAGGGGAGGCCAUGUGACUCAAACAGGGACAGAAAUCUCCUGGAAGGACUCUCAGGGAAGAUGAUCCUCCCUGGAAAGGCAGAAAUGCAAGGAGAGCUGUCUGGCUGCCCCAGCUGACCCCUCCCUACCUUUCUUCAUUGGACAAUUCCGUGUGCAAACCUGAAAGCUACUGCAACCAUCUCGUGACCACAGACAGUGGGCCUGACGAUGAGAAGUCAGUGGACUGCGGAUUAAACAGUCUUGUCUGGGCUCUCUGUGAGUCACCUGCCUGCUGUGGCACGGAGAAGCCCAGCUCUCCUCCAGCCGGCCUGAAGGUUGUCAGCUUGAUGGCAGGGCAAGCGGAGCAGAGCCCUGUGAGCUGAGGGUUCAAGGCCAGGAAAACAGGGGCAGCCAGGUACCCAGAUCAUGGUGGCAGGGCCAGAGAUGUUGAGCCAUCUAGGGUUUAGUGACUAUGGCUAGAGCAGAAAGAGUCUUUGAGUCAGAAUCCAGGGUGAGACAUCUCUCCCACCUGUUCCUUUCUCCCCUGCCGUGAAUUGGAUGGAAAAUAUGGAACAGGGAGGUCUUUGCAAUUUCACUUGGAAAAAUAAGAUAGCAGGAUGGCUGGCCCUGGGCACAGAUAGGUUCACUGUGUAUUGUUUUGUUUGUUUUUAACCCUGUGUGUCCCCCACUGGACCAUCAGACCUUAGGGAACAGAGACUAUGUCUUACUCAGUCUUGCAUCCCCAGCACGUGGUCAAGGAUAUACCCAAAGCACAAAAUCCACCAGAGGGAAAGCUGUUAGGGGCUCCUGAGAGUCCAGGGGGCACAUGAAGACGUUUGUACUCAGGGCCUAAAUGCUUGGACACACGCCCUGACUUCUGCUUCAUCUGACUUUCCUGCCAUUGUUUUUAUUUUACUUUUUUUUUGUUGACUCUGUCUCAAAAUAAAGACUUUCUUAGCUCUUCAGACAUGGCUUUGUCUUAAAGCCCUGCCAGCGUUCCCUUAGAAAGGCCACGCUCAGCCAUUUCUUCAUCUCUGAGCUCAUUUCCCAACCCUGCAUUACUUGAAACCAAGUAACUUGUUAAAUAAGAGGUGGGAUGUCCUGGGCUCCUUCUCAGGCUGGCAUCUAGAACUCUGUCUCAGGAUCCUAAGUUCCCUGGAGAGGGCUUUGUCUGACUUUCCCCUGCUUCCUCACGGUCCCCUUGCCCCACAGCAAUGCCUCUCCCCAUCCUUAGCACUAUGUUCUGUGCACACAGCAGAUGAGCAGCUGUCAGAGUGAGUGACUCUGACAGGUGAGUGAGCAGCUCUCUUUAACGUGUGGGCUUAUGCGGUCUGCACUGCCCCUGAGCUAAUUACUACACCAGAUGCCCAUAUGUGGUCACUCUCCAGUGAGUAAGAACAGGCCAGCAACUGAGAAUUGUCAGCUCCUCGUGGGGCUGCAGGGGAUCUCAAAUAGCCCGGCCACUUGCAGGCUCAGGUUGGUAGACAGGAAGUCGGGAUUUCAUGGUGGAGAGGGCCCACUAAGGACAUGCUUUUGCUCUCAGGGGGUACCAGAAGGGCCACUGCUGUUUUAUUUUUUGUGGGGCUCAGGGACUUUGGUGGGGGGAAUCUCACUAGGUCUUGGGGUUCUGAAAUGGGGCUGGAGUAACGCUGUCCUAUCCCCUGCCUCUCCCCUUCCUUCUCAACACCAGCAGGGCAGGGUAGCCCCAGGAGCCCAGGCCUGCCAAUGCAGGCCUGUGAGCUGAUGGCCAGAGAGAAAACACAUUCCCCUGGGCCACACUGCAGUCAUCAAUCAAGCAAGGGGAUGGGGUGGGGUCUUCUCAGGCCUUCCAGCUUUCACGUCCUUUUCCCUUCCCUGACACUCAGCUUCCCAGCGCCUGCCACUCUGAUGCUGGCUUCAUCUAUCUCCUCCCCUGAGCAGCUCUGGGUGAUGACAUGAAGUCGGAUAUGGGGAGGACAGGCUGACAACAAGGGCAGCGAGUGUCCCAGGAACUGAGGAGGUGGGGCUCUGCGGCCAGGACAGGAGAUGAGCGAGCCACAUUAGCCUCACAGCCGGAAUGACAUGGGACCAACUGUGGGGAGGGAGGCUGCAUCGCAGGUGCCGACAGCCUCAGCGUGGGGAUGAUGGGAGAUGAGAUGAGGUGCUGGCAUGGGAGGACAAGGUAGAGUAGAGGAGCGGCCAUCAGGGGGGCCACAGAGGGGGGCCGCUUUGUUAACAGCAGGGAAGCAAUGGUGAGCAAGGAUGCAGAGGCUCUAUCCCACUCUGUGUAGGGCAUAGGAGAGAGGAUAGCCUUCAUUCCAAGAGUUGAGGGGAGAUGGUGUCCCACGAGGAGAAGCAGGGAGGCUGAGGCCGAGACAGUAUGGUUGUGGGGAGGCGCAGGGCUGUGAGCAUGGAGGAGAGCGGUCAGGCAGGAUGACCAGGUAUGAGAAGGCCCGGAGGUCUGUAGGGGUUUGGAAUCCAGGCAGAGGACAGGUGGCAAGCGUGCAGGCCCUCAGGGCUCUGUCUGCCACAUUGUGGCCAUAGCCUGUGGAGACUGGCCUCACUGUGGUCCUCGACCAGGGGUGGUCUGGAAUAUUUCUGGGCUUCCAGCCUCUGCAAAGUUAGCCUGGGUGGAGGGGGUGGAUGAAAAUUCUUUGCGUAAGUGACAGCAGCACUUAGGGCUGAGGGUGGAAACUUGGGAAGGGCUGAAGGACACAGUGUGGAGGAAGAAGAGCCCAUGUCGGGUGAGAAGCAACUGAGGGGGACUUGCCAGAGAGGGAGGAGGAGGCCACCAGCUCGGGGGGCAGAGGGUUUCAAGAAGGAGGGGACAAUCAUCGCUGACUACUGCUACAGGAUGAGGCUGAAAUGGAUUCCCCUGGAUUAAGAACAUGGCAGUUUGGGUGGGAACAGCAUCAGACAGAUGAAGGGGCAGUGAGCCACACUGCAGAGUGAGGAGAGAAUGGAAGGGAGGGAGUGAAGAGAGCAAGUGAUCUUCCAAGCAAAGAGGGAGAGAGCGACAAUGAGUAUGAAGUGCAAAGGGAGUGCCAAACGGGAUUACUCAUGCCCUGGGGAGUUAGGAGAGACAUCAUGGAGGACAAGACAUAAGCGGGUUUUGAAGGUUCAGCAGGAGUUUUCUAAGCAGAGAAGAGGGUGUUUGUGCCAAGGUGAAUACAACAUGAUGAUGGAUUAGGAAAACAGUGGGUCACCUGGUGUGGCUGAAGGAUGGAGCAGUGGCAGGGAGUGGGGAGGAAGGGGCUAAAAAUGUAGGGUGGGUGUUUUCAGCCAUCAGGCUCAAGAUGUUUGAGAAGUAUGUCUUAGUCUGUUCACGCUGCCAUAACAAAAUACCACAGUCUAGCAAAAUACCACAGCCUCAGUGGCAUACAAACAUUAUUUCCCACAGUUCUAGAGGCUGGAAAAUCCAAGAUUAAGGGGCUGGCAGAUUCAUGUCUGGUAAGGGGCCCAUUCCUCCAUAGGCGGUGCUGUCUCAGUGUCUCCUCACACAGUGGAGGGGCAAACGAGCUCCCUCUGGCCUUUUUACAAGGGCACUAAUCCCAUUUAUGAGGGCUCCAUCCUCAUGACAUAAUCACCUUCUAAAGGCUUCACCUCCUAAUAGCCUCACCCUGGGGGUUAGGAUUUCAACCUGUGAAUGUUAGAGGAACACAAGCAUUUAGGCUGUAGCAAAGUAGUUACUUGAUUGCAAAAACUUCUGUGCUCAAAAGCCUAUUAUUUUUUUAGCCUCUCCAGUAUUUUUGCCUGACAAUAUAACAAGGUGCCUCCCUAUAGUGCCAUAAAAGGCACAGAAGUAAUUUCAGCAAAAGAUGAGCAUGUUUUGUGACUGCAUGUCUUUUGUACUCAGUUCUCCUUUCUAUGGAUCAACGCCAGAUGAGAAGGAAGGUGGCACAGUUAGUAACUCACCAGCAAAGAGCAUUCUCCCUGUAAGCAUCUCGGCCAGGAUGCAGCCGGCGGCCCACAUGUCAAUGGCUUUGGUGUAGUUAUUGGGGGAGAGAAGCAGUCGUGGGGAGCGGUACCACUUCGUUACCAACCCUUCUGACAGAUAACCCUGAAAGACAAAAUUUCAGGCCCCACUGAGCAGUCAUUCCUGAUACCCUCCACCCAUGCCUCUUCCAGUUUCCCCUCCCAUGAAGCAGGCCUCUUUCAGAAGGCCUUUCAUUCUUGCCCCUUUCCUGUUGAUCUUGAAGGAGCAUGAGUAAACACAGGUCUGGUUAGAGGGCUGGACCUGGUUUGUGGGGUUCAAAUCCUUUGAUGAGAGAAUUUUUUUUUUUUUUGAGACGGAGUUUUACUCUUGUUGCCCAGACUGGAGAACAGUGGCACAAUCUCGGACUCACUGCAACCUCUGCCUCCCAGGUUCGAGCGAUUCUCCUGCCUCAGCCUACUGAGUAGCUGGGAUUAUAGGCAUAUGUCACCAUGCCUGGUUAGUUUUGUAUUUUUAGUAGAGACAGGGUUCCUCCAUGUUGGUCAGGCUGGUCUCAAACUCCUGACCUCAGAUGAUCUGCCCACCUCGGCCUCCCAAAAUGCUGGAAUUACAGGCGUGAGCCACUGCACCUGGCUGAGAAUCUUAUGAGAUCCAAGGGUUCUCCUUUGUAGAAAGGAAUCCAGGUUAUCAACAUUUUAGAAGAAAUGAUUUCCCACCCCCGCUUAACUCUGCAUAACAAGUCUGUCCUCCUCUAGUAAGAAGAUGGAUAAACAGGAGCCCUGCUCAAGUUCAUUACUGCCAGCAACAGAGUAACCAUGAGACACUGGCGUUCCCUUUAUCCAGAGGCUUACUCUCAGAAGUAGCCACACGCUUGAAUUCACGCUGGUUGCUUUGACACUGAAGAUUAGAGUUAAUGCUGCCACAAAGCCAGGCACCAGGCUCCUGCUGAGAACAGAUAAGGCCAUCUUCAUAACAGAUGCAGGGAAACGCUAUGCGGAAGUAGUUCUGAACAACAAGGUGGACACAGCUUUUGUUGGCCCAUGAGAUUCUGGGAGUUUUCCCUGGUGUCGUUUUGGAGGAAUAAAUGUUCUAGCUGAUUUUGCCCAUGGCUCAGUGAUUUGUGGUCUGAAUGGACUCCCUCCUUAUACAGUGAGGACAUAUACCCAUAUAUGAUUUAGGAAAAUAUACCCAGGGAAUUUAGAAACUGUUUUCUACAUAAUUCAGAAAGCUGGGCCAAGAGUGACAUAUGGAAAAUGUCCAUUUGGAUUCCCUAGGACAGUCUUUCUAAAGUAAGAAGAGCCAGUAUAGACCCUCUGGGGGAUAAGACGAGACAGUUAGGACUGAGGGGAUCCAAUGGGAGAUUCCAGGGAUGGUCUCGCUGCAGUUCCCAGUUUCGCAUCUGCACUUCCCUUUCUAUGGAUGUGGAAGUAUCACAGGCUCAGGUUAAAGCAGAUGAAAAGCUAAGAAGCUCAGGACCCAUGAGCUUCUGACUUAAUUGAUCUGAAAUCCCUUCAUUUGUUCAACAAAGAUUUCUUAAAUGUGUAAAACCUUUGCAAAGCCCUGAAUUAGGACAGCAGUUUUCUCCCCUCUGUGGCACAUAUUUCCUCUGAGUAGAGCCUCAAACUGGUAGAAGGAAGGAGGAAAACUGAAAGACACCCUUCAGCUGGAAAUCACUAGAGCAUCCCAUGCCCUGGUCUUGAUACUCUCACCCAAAUGAAAUCCUUAGAAUUUGGAGAAUGUGCCCUCUUCCUCUGUCCUUUGUGCAUUUGCCUCUGUACAUUCCAUGAAGGAUGUCAUCAUACUCACUGUGCUACCAGCUGACACACUCAGGUCAACUUCCUCUCAGAAGCUUCCUUGUUUUGUUGCUGUUUCUUUACUUCUCUGCAUCUCCACCCCUCCAAGGACCACUAGAUUAUGCGCCUCUCGUGGGCAGCAGCUGUAUCUUGUUCUGCAGCUACAGUGCAUUCCCCAGCCCAUGCCUCCUAAGAAGUGUUCAAUAAACACUGCUGAACUGCUGAAUGAAUGAAUGAAAAAGGAACAUCUCAUAUGCUCUGAACCACCUCCAAAAUUUAGGCAACUUCUGCAGGGAAAAAGAGUGGAACCCGGACCUCCCUGUAGUCAAGGGUAUAAAAGAAGAGGACCAGUGGAUGAGAUCGAGGGUUCUCCUUUGUAGAAAGGAAUUAAGGACCAAGAUCAGUGGAUCCUCCUCUAUACACUUGACUAUAAGGAGGUCCAUGUUCCACUUUGCAAGGUGGGUGAGGAAUUUAUAUAAGUUGAGAGCCACUUAUGCCUUGUCUUGUUCCAAAAAGGGAUUGGCCAAUGUAAUUUUUAUAGGAGUUUAACUGCUUUAAAAGUCAAGUUUAUUGAGAUAUAAUUUACACAGGGUAAAAUUCACUAGUUCUAUGAGUUUUGACAAACACAUAGAGUCAUGUCACCACAAUCACAAUCAAGAUACGUAAUAAUUCCAUUAUCUCAAACAAUUCCCUCCUGCCCUCUUCUGGUCACCCCUAGUCUCAGCCCCUAGCAACUGCUCCUUUCUGUCUCUCUAGUUUUACUUCUAUGUAAAUGGAAAGACAGUAUGUAGCUUUUGAGUCCGAAUUCCUUCGCUUACCACAAUGCACCUGAGACUCAUCUACCGUGUAUACUGUGUCUACAGUAGAGUGUUAGGAAUUUAACUUUGAUUCUAAAAGUUACAGAAACAAACCAAAUACUGUCUGUGGAAGUUCAUGUCUGGGUGGGUGGGUUCUAAAAGAAUAGUCUGGUUUUAUUUUCAGUCAGAGGGUGAGAUUGUCAGGGAAAGACUAAAGGAAGAGUACUCAGUGGGAGGUAGCUUCAGGGGAGUCUUCUCUGAUAUGUAAAUGCACAGUCUUUUAUGAAACGGAAUGGUCUGAAAUUGACAUCUGCCUUUCAGAGUCUAGGGCUAAAGAAAAGUGGGCACAGGGGGCUUUUUUCUGAAACACUUGCCCUGAAAGUGAAAGAAAGAUGUUGACAUGGGUAAGGCUGCUCGUGGGCCAGGAUUACGGACCAAGUCAUAACAGGAGCUAAGCAAGUCCCUCUCCAGCAAUUCCUUAUUUUUCUGUUUUCUUUUUUUUUGGAGUCUUGCUCUGUUGCCAGGCUGGAGUGCAGUGGUGCAAUCUCAGCUCACUGCAACAUCCACCUCCUGGGUUCAAGCGAAUUCUUCCACCUCAGCCUCCCGAGUAACUGGGACCACAGGCACGUGCCACUACGCCCAGCUAAUUUUUUUGUAUUUUUAGUAGAGGUGAGGUUUCAUCAUGUUGAUCAGGAUGGUCUCAAUCUCUUGACCUGGUGAUCCGCCCACCUCGGCCUCCCAAAGUGCUGGGAUUACAGGAGUGAGCCACCGUGCCGGGCCCUUUCUUAUUUUUCAAUGAAAAACAAGAACCUGCUAAAUUUUUAACUGGUAGUUAUAAAUAAAUCCCCACUUCCUUCCCAGUUUGGUGUUCAAGAGGUUUGUUUUGCGGCCUUUCCUGCUUCACUUUGAGACAGGUUCUUGCAUUCUGUCACCCAGGCUGGCAUGCAGUGGCGCAAUAGUGGCUCACUACAACCUCUGCCUCCCAGGUUCAAGGGAUCCUCCCACCUCAGCCUCCAAGAAGUUGGGACCCCAGGUGCGCACCACCACAUCCGGCUAAUUUUUGUAUGUUUUGUAGAGAUGGGGUUUCGUCAUGUUGCCCAAGCUAGUCUCAAACUCCUGAGCUCACGUGGUCUGCCUGCCUUGGUCUUUUGAAGUGCUAAGAUUACAGGCAUGAACCACUGUGCUCGACCCUUAAAGGGGAUUUGUUGAUAUGUUUCAGAAGUCACAGGGCUGAGAAGAAUUUGGAAAGGUGCAGCAUCUUAUGUCAAGCUGGUACAAGAGAAGCCCCAGGAAGGGGAGCUGGGAAUAUAUUGGAAGCUCCAUUCCCAGAUAUGGGGGCAGACACAGUGGACCAGGGUCCGGCUGUCAGCUGAGCUGAGCCCUGCAUGUCUGAAUGGGAAAGGCUCUGGGGCCCACAAAAUGGUACUGAUGAUCUGAAUUUAAGAGAGGACUUUCAAUCAAGGGAUUGGGGCAAAAUUCAGAAUUUUCUACAAAAAAUAAAAAAAUCUUGCUUUUCUGUGUCAAUAGCACUCACGCAAACAUGGUGAAUGUUUCUAAAACCUUCUGGACUUUCUGUAAGAAGUGUGGCAAGCACCAACCCCACAAAGAGGCACCGUACAAGAAGGGCAAGGAUUCUCUGUACGCCCAGGGAAAGCCGCGUUACGACAGGAAGCAGCGUGUAUGGUCGGCAAACUAAGCCGAUUUUCCGGAAAAGGCUAAAACUACAAAGAAGAUCGUGCUAAGGCUUGAGUACGCUGAGCCCAGUGGCAGAUCUAAGAGGACGCUGGCUGUUAAAAGAUGCAAGCAUUUUGAACUGGGAGGAGAUAAGAAGAGAAAAGGCCAAGUGAUCCAGUUCUAAGUGUCUUCUUUUAUGAAGACAAUAAAAUCUUGAGUUCAUGUUAAAAAAAAAAAUCUUUAAAGAAUAUCCAGAAGUGGAGACCCAAUUUUAUUAAAAGAGCUCAUAAAUCAGUAGGUAUAUUGGCUCAAAAAAAAAAAAAUCCUCAAGUAGACUUCUGCCCAAGCCUGUGGGGAGAGGAUAGUUUCAGCUCCAUUUGGAUGUAGAGAGAGAUGCAUUCUUCUGUGAUCAGACCUGGUCUUCCCUGCUGGGGUAGGCCCACGCACAGGGUGACCAAGGAGGGAGUGGGCUGAACGGCAGGCACACUCGGUGCACAGGUGGGCGCGUCUGCAUUCGGCUGUUGCCGGCCAGCUGGGGCCGGCCUCCGGCGUGAGGCUUUUCUGACAUCACUGCUCUGAAGUGCACACUCCCACAAGUCUCUGUGACCACCACUUGGAGACAAAAAACAAGACUGGAGUGGCCCCUUCCUCAUCGUCUCUUUCCUCCUGCCACCUGUUCCCACCAGGAGGCAGAUGAACAUGGUUUCCUUUCUAGACCCUUUUAAGGGGCAUUGGGGCCUUCACCAGCUAUUAUUCCCACCCACCCAUUUUGCUGUCCCUUUAGAGUCAUGGACAGCCCAUGGGAGGCUCUGGCUUUGAAAGCUUCAAAGGUGUUAGGGAAAUAAUCUAGCAGCAGCUGCCCUAUGAAGAGGGUAAUUAGGGGCCCCUGACGGAUCUAGAGAAAAGGUAUAAUUAAAGCUCUGAGCAUUCUCUUUGCAGAGGGGGCAGGGAAGCUGCCCUUGGUCCCAGCUGCCUGCUGGGGAAUUCAGAACAGCCUAAUCAAAGUCACUCCCAGAGGGUGGGCACUCUGAGCUGCUCUGGUGAGCCCACGCUGGGUGGGCACCAGUUCUGAUCUCCUGUGCCUGCCCUUGCUGUGCUCUCACUGCCUGGUCUCUUGCAUCUGGGAGUUGGAAGGUUGGGGAAGAAGGCUUAAUCUAAGAAACCUACUACACCCUUUAAUAAUAAUGUGCCCACUAAUCCCUCAUGGGCAUAAUGAAUUUAUUUAUUUGUGACAGGGUCUUGCUCUGUUGCCCAGGCUGGAGUACAAUGGUGCCAUCUCUGCUCUCUGCAGCCUCCGCCUCCUGGGUUCAAGUCAUCUUCCCACCUCAGCCUCCCAAGUAGCUGGGACUACAGGCUUAUGCAACCAUAUCUAGCUAAUUUUUGUAUUUUUUGUAGAGAUGAGGUUUUGCCAUGUUGCCCAGGCUGGUUUCAAACUCCUGAGCUCAAGUGAUCCUCCCACCUCAGUUUUCCAACAUGCUGGGAUUAUAGUCGUGAGCCACUGUGCCUGGCCUGGUUUGGUGAAUUUAGAUGAGACAACAUUCUCCAAGAAUAAAACCCCAGUCAACUUUAGCUCUGGGGUGGGGGUGAAGACAGGGUGAGAAGGAUUGCUUUUCCUUUCAUGCUGAAUCAAUGUUUAGGGCUGCCCCUGUUUCCAGGCUAGGAUGAUGAGAGUCUGAUAGCAUUUCACGUGGUUAGAGAGAUGAAAUGUUAAUAUGGAAAAAAAUGCAAGGAUCAGGAAGUACUCAUGGCCAACAUUUCUGUAGGACUUACCCUGUGCCCAGCAUGGUGUUAGUAUUUUACAUGAAUUUGAUGCAGGCCCUACACAGAGUAGUGAAAUGAUGGCACCAAGGUGCUGUAACUGAGAAGUGGUCAGGAGUGUCUGACUUCAGCACCCAUCACUUACCUACUGCAUGGCCUUCGCCCAUCCCUAAUGACAUGCUUGUGAAUUCACAAGUACUUCGAGAGAAGUGCCAGUGAAUGUGCAGACCCAGACCACUCGGAGUCGUGGACUUAGAGUUGCAAUCCCCAUCUUGAAUGAGCUCCCCAGGGGAGGCGAAUGCCCCCUCCUAGUGUGGAAGGAGUUUCAGUGUAGGUUGCAUGAGGGCCUCUGCUUUUCUAAUUAGCCCUGGGCAGGCCUGCACUGUGUAGCGGGCCCCUUCCAAGUCUUACUAGUGGGUGGGCACUCAUGGAGCAAGGUGGCUGCAGGCUCUGUGCUCCCCCUCUACCCUAGCACGCUUCCCCCCAUUCCCGGGGCUGUCUGGAGAGCAGGGCUCAGGAUUAAUGGGCUCAGGAAGGACCCUGGCACUGCACUUCCUUGGAAGAGGUAGAAAUGCACAGACUGCCCCAGUCUGAUCCAGGAGAAACUAGUUCAAGCCAAAAAGAAACCAGGCUGCAGAGAGGAAAAACUUAGCUUAGGGGAAAAGUGAGGCUGUGGCCUGGAGACUGUGAUUCUUUCAGGGGACUGGGUUCCCAGGAGGAGCAGUGGAAAUCAAAGGCCUGUCACACAAGAACCUGGCAGUUUUAGUCUGGAGCACGUGGAAGGGGCGGGCAUGAGAGCUGCCUGUAGACAUUUUUGCAAGGCUGUCAUGUAGAAGAGGAGCUAACCUUGUUCUCUGAGGCUCUGGGGACAGCCGAGAGCAAAUGUGUGAGACAGAAAUCUAUGCGGCAUGAUAAUACCAGCUAACAUUUAUUGAGCUCCUCAGACUGUUUUAUCUGCUUUAUAUGGAUAAACUCAUUUCAUCCUCCCAGCAAUCCCAUGAGGGUAGGGACUCUUAUGAUAGUCAUUUUAUAGGGAGGAAACUGAGGCACAGAGAGCGUAAGUAACCUGUCCAUACUCACACCGGCUAUAAGUGGCACAGCUGGAAUUCAACCCCAGGCUGUGCAGAUGUAGCUCCUUUGAUCUGAAUAGAGGCUUCCACUGCUUCUCACAUAAGAGAAACCGACCUGUAAGGCUGCCAGGGCUUUCUGUGGGGGCCUGGGCUGUCUAGACAGGCAGAGGUCCAAGCACAGAACAGUCUUGAGGAGACAUGUGCCAACACCAUAUUCCUGGUGGAGGCCCUAAAGCAUGGCUUCUCAAACUUUGGGGUGCUCUUAGGUCCCUCAAAGACCUUGACUGGUUAAGUGCAGAUUCCAUUUCUCAGUCUAAACAAGGCGAUGAUGAUGCUGCCAUUCAGAGGACCACACUUGGAGCAGCAAGUCCCUAGACGGUCUUUAUGAUGCUGGCCUGCUCUAGGAAAUUAUGAUUUGCUUUACUUAAAGGCCAGGCAGAUUUCUCAAACCGAGCAGCAGACUGACCUAUAAUAGGGGUUAAUUCUUUGAGUUACAGACACUCAUCAAAAGAUCAUUUAGAAGACCAACAUCCUCCCAGAGGUCCUGCUAAAGCAGACAUAUACAGCCUGUCUUCUGCAGUCUUCUCCCUCUGAACCCAUAAUUCUUAUUUGUGCCAAUGUACAUAUGAAGCACGUGAGAAACCUUUUUACAAAGGAAUAAUACCACAGCCAAAUAGCAAACUCAUUCCAUUAAACUCAUAUCCAGCAAAACAUGCAGCAGGGACUCUCUCAGAUGGAGGGAGGGAACACUUCACAAAGCCUGGCUCACAUUGCAAUCGCUGGUAAAUCAUCUGGCACGUUCUAUUAUGCAGCUAAAGUAAAUAUGGGUGAAGAAAUUGUAUGGCUCAAUCAGCUGCACUCAAUUUUUAUGAACUUCUAAGAUGCCCUAAAUGCUGAUCCCCUUUCAGGACUGUCCCUCCCCCACUCCACCCUCUGGGGAUCCUGGCCAGAUCCAGAAAUUCACCAUCUCUUCCCAGGUUUCCAUGGAAAUCAACCAAAAGCUCAUAUAAACUCCCACAGGCCUUCAGGCCCUUGUUGGACACUCCAGACCCCUUGUGCACACUUCCUUUUACUUAAAAAAAAUCAUAAUAAAAUUGCCAUAAAAAAUGUAAUUGUGAUAAAAUACACAUACCAUAAAAUUUACCAUUUUAACCGUUAAGUGUACAGUUCAGUGGCAUUAAGUACAUUCACAGUGCUGUACAACCACCACCACCAUCCACCACCAGAACUAUUUUCUUUUUUUUUGAGACAGAGUCUCACUUUGUCGCCGAGUCUGGAGUGCAGUGGCGUGAUCAUGACUUACUGCAGUCUCGACCUCUUCGGGGAAGCUAAAGGGAUCUUUGUGCUUUAGCCCUCUGAAGUAGCUGGGACUACAGGUGUGUGCCACCAUGCCUGGCUAAUUUGUAUUUUUUGUAGAGAUGGGGUUUUGCCAUUUUGCCGAGGCUGCUCUUGUAUUGCUGAGCUCCAGUGAUCCACCUGCCUCCUCAGCCUCUCAAAGUGCUGGGAUUAUAGGCAAGAGCCAGUGCACCGGGCCAAGAACUCUUUUCAUCUUGCAAAACUGAAAGUCUGUCCCCCUUGAACAAUAACUUUACCCUUCUGCCUGCCUCUGGCAACCACCAUGCUACUUUCUAUCUGCAUGAGUUUGACUGCUCUAGGGAACUCACAGAAGUGGAAUCAUACAGGCUUUGUCCUUUUGCAUCUGGCUUAUUUCACUUAGCAUAAUGUACCUCUCCUUACUUUUAAAUAGCAGGAAAGUGGGAGCAACGGAGUUGGGCUUCUUUUUAAAAAGCACUUUGUUGAAAUGUGGUUGUCUUCUAAUUCAGCUAGAGCUCACCAUCUGAUAAAAGCUUUGGACAUUAUCCUCAUGGGGUCCAAAUCAUGAACCCUGAAUGCUAUUACAGUUUAAAGACUUAAUAAUGUGUUCUCUUUGUUCAGUGAUGUACCAGGACUGGCAGCUCCAUUACCACCAUCCUCACCAGGACCAGUGGCUGGGCUGGGUUGAGAGGUUGCUGGAGGGAUGAUUUCGUUAGGCUGCUUCUGCCUCAGUUUCCCCAUCUGCUUCUGCUGUUGGAGGGGCUACAAGUUCUCCUCUGUCGGGCAUUAGCAUCCUGGGUGCUGCAUGACAACUGACAGCAGUCUUUAAGUGAGGAACUCUGCUAGGCCAAAGUGAUUAAUUUUUAAUAGGCUAGUCUGUGUGCAAAGGGCUGCUUUCAGUAAGAUGCAUUAACUGUCAAGCCAUAAAUAGACAUCUGUCACGCUGGCUUUCAAGGGGAAAUCUGGUGGCACUCUGGAGCAGUGGCUCUCAGACCUGCAACAGGCUGGACAUACCUGGGGAACUUAAAAAAAAUCCUGACAUUCAGGCCACAUGCUGUGCCAGUCACUUCAGAAUCUCACGGGGUAGGACCCAGGCAUCAGUGAGCUUUUUUGCAACUCCCCAAGUGAUUCCAAAGUGUAGCUGUAUUUGAGAACCAGCAUCCCUUGAGGUCUUGAGUUCGCCUGCUUUGGAAAGGUAAAUAGUAUUUUUAUGGUUCCUGGAUGAGUACAGGUUUCUAUUUCUACCUCCCCUCAGGAUGAGAUAAAUCCUUGAGUAGCUACAGAGGUUUUCCACAGAUGGCUGAACCAUAUGAAGUAAAACUUUACUGAAAAAUCACUGAUCGUAAUAAUAGCUAUCAUUUAUUGAGAAAUUAUGAUGAGCCAGGCACUGUGCCAAGUACUGCCUUAUGAAUAGUGCAUUUAAUUAUCAAAAUGACCCUGUGAAACAGGUAGAGAGAGGGAGCAAGGUCAAAUUAAUGAAUAAUUGGCAGAGCUGAGAUCCGAUCCCAGCAGUGAGUAAAACAAUGUCCUUGUAAUCAUGGAAUGCACAUUUUGGUAGGAAAGACAGCUGAACAAACGAAUGUGUGAUACGUCUAGUGGAGACAAGGGAAAGGAAUGGAAAUAAAGCAGGCUAAGGAGCUAGAGAGUGAUGGGGUGGGUGGUCUGGAAAGGGCUCUUGGAUAAGGGGACAUUUGAUCAGAGACCAGAGUGAGUCAAGGGUGAGCCAUGUGGCCAUGUGGUAAAAGACAUCAGAGUGGUUGAUCUCUGAGCCCCAGGCCUCCCCUUUCUGUCCCUUACCUCUUCCCCUGAGGAGGGCAGAACCUUUUUCCUCCCUCCUAGCAAACUUUCCUCUCAGCUCCCUUAUACAGCCAGGUAUAUAACUGAGAGCAUAUUAGAGAUGGGAGGAAAUAUCUGUUGACAUCCACUCUGUACAAGGGAUUUUGCCCCAGUAGCUCAGCUCACCUCCUGAGAAUGCUGUUGAAGGUAAGCGUUUCUUUUUCAUUUUACAUUUGCGGAUAUGACGGCAGGACCCUCCUCUCUGACUUAGCUGGCAAGGCUGUGUGAUCAGACAGCAUCCUGGACCUCUUUAUCUCUAACUUCAUAACUUGAUAGCAGGGGUAGCUGUGAGGGCCCCUGAAGGCAAGAGCCAGCUGUUUUCUGUCUGCAGAGCACCCCUGCACAGGAUAGGUGCCCACUUACAAUCGAGUGAAUGAAUGGAGUACAAACUUUGAGCUCAAGGAAUGAUUGACAUGCCAUGAAAUUCAGGAACUGACCACCAGCCAGGAGAAAAUUAGUUCGAAGUUUAAUUGCUGUGUAAAAAUCUCAGGACAAAGGUAGUAUCUGUGUUCAAGUCUAGCCCCUGCCAGGUGGGGGAUGAGGCAGCUUUCUAUUGAACAUGCUCUUCAUGCUACGGUGUGGGAGCCAGACCCCUCGGGCUGCUAAUCUUGCCUGGGACCAACCUGAAGGUCCGACUCAUAGCUUUACUGCACCCCUCCACACCUCCACCCUCAAAAAGAAAAUGUGAGUCCAAAAGCACUUUUGAAAAUGGGUAAGAAUAAUGACGACCUGCCAGGUGCUGACCAUGAGCUUGGGGCGCUCCUCACCUUCUCUGUCUCCUUCCACUCUGUCAUCAUGAUGCUCUCCCAGAAUGGCUGUUGUCGUUAUCCCUACUCCACAGAAGAGAAUGCAGAGGCAGGGAGGGUAACGACAUGGUCCAACAUCACAGAGUGUAGUCCAACAUAGCAGAGUCCUCCAUCAUCCCUCCGGGCCCCAAAGUCCCCCUCCAACUCCAGCCUCUUCACAGCUGCUCCCACUCCACAGGACUGAAACUCUUCUCAGUUUGACUUGCAGAGCACGCUCAGAACAAAAGGAACUUCCCUGACUUCUCUCUUCUCAGAAGGCUCUAGAAUAUGACCCGCAACUCUUGUGAUGCAAUCAGUAGACUAAGAGAAAUCAGAGAGAGAUACACAUCUUUUUUUUUUUUUUUUUUUUUUUUUGGAGACAGGAUCUCACUUUGUCAUUCAGGCUAAAGUGCAGUGGCUUGAUCUCCUGGGUUCAAGCGAUCCUCCUCCUGCCUCAGCCUCCCAAGUAGUUGGGACUACAGGCACGCGCCACCCAGCCUGGCUAAUUUUUGUACUUUUUGUAGAGACAGGGUUUCCCCUUCUUGGCCAGCUAGACUCGAACUUCUGAGUUGAACUGUUGUACUCACCUCAGCCUCCCAAAGUACUAGGAUUACAGGCAUGAGACACCGUGCCUGGCCUGUCUUGCUUUUUUCUACUGAUGCAAGAUGAGGGAGGACUUAGAUUGGUCUGGAGAGCGUGACAGAUUUUGGAGUCUCUGGGUAGACUCAUUAUACAGAUGGUGUGGGAGGGAAUGAAAUGGGCCUUAGAGAGCUUACCUGAAGUUUAAAAGUCUCUCUAUCACAGGGUCUGCCUGGGAAGGGCAGGUCUGGGGAAGGAGGAGGCUCCUGCUGGCCCAGCCUAAAUGUAGGCAGGAAGCAGCUCCCUGCAGAACAUGGGGGAUGCCCAUGCUCCUCCUGAACUUGACCACCUGCCUGUCCUGGUACAGGAGUCUCAUCUACAGAGUAGCUGCUUUUAGUUAGGGUAGUGUUUCCUGAAAUGACUUCACAUUCGGAAGGUGUUAAUAGCCAGCAGGGGAGAUAGGAUGUGUGCCCAGACACUCUUUGGACAGGCUGGCAACAACCAAUGAGGUUUAUAUAUAGUCUCAGAGUCUUCUGAAUGGGGAUUUAGUGUGUGGCUCUUGUCAAACCUCUUUGACCACUUAUCCACUUUUUUCUAGGUGCAUCAUGGGGACCAAUCUUAGGACAGGCUGUGAGGAAUGCUGGGUAAGGUCAGCAUUAAUGUCACCACAUCAAUUCGAUACCUGGGAGAGGAAACAUAUUGACCUGCUAAGCCCACUGUCUUCUGUUAGCAAGAUGAAUGUUAUGGCACCUGCUGAAUGCUCUGUGUGAAUGGAGGUGCACGGCCUCCCCCACUUAUCCUGAGAGCCCCUAAGUGCUGUGACCUCUUGGUAUGGCCGGUGCCUGCAGAUGGAAGAUGCUGAAGGCAGGUGGCUGCAUGUUACAAAAGCCAUUAGCAAUGCCAGCUACUUUCAUUCCACGGAGAUUGUGUCCCCUAGGAAAAGCAGGGACGGAUGUUUUGGCUAGGAAAGGGAAGGUGGGGAGCACAGGUUACUGGAGGAAGGAGGUGCCUGCUGGAUGAGCAGCACUGAAACCACUGCCCAGGCUGGCCAGGCAGGGAAGAAGCACAUGCAGCGGGGAUGGAAGAGGGGAGUGAGCAUGGGAAGGAAGGCAGCAAAAAGGCCCUGAGAUCAACUCAAGAGGGGUCUCCAGCAUUGCCUCUAUUAGGGUCCAAAUCCAACUCUUGGCUCAGUAACCCUGUCUGACCCUGACCUUGGGAAGGGUCUUUUGGCCCUGGUGACCCAGGCAGCCUGCCUGGAUCAUACUAUUAAUAGGGAACCAUAUCAUUUCUGCGGAAACUCUUCUGGGAAAAUCUGCACGUUGCAGGCAGGUACACCACUUUUGAAGUGCCCACAUGCUGGGAGGCAGCUCCCAGGUCACCUGUUCCAGAGAAUUAUAGUCUCAUUUCAGAUGAUCUUUUAACAGGCCUUUACUAAGUGUUUCCAGUCGGUCCAGCCCUGUGUGUGGUACUAUGAAUCAAGGGACUGUCUCCAGGGAGCUUACACUCCAGUUCUGGGCAGGACUCAAGUGCCGUGUCUCUCCUCCAAAUGUGUGCAAGGCACUGCAUACCAGGAAGACCACCUGUAUGUCCCGGGACCUCAACCCCACUGCCAUCAGCUGGUGUCGUGCCUUUCAGAUAAAUGCUGAAUACUUCUCACUGAAUCAAAGGCAGGAAGCCACAGCCCUGUGCAUGAGCACCCUGUGCAUGAGCCUCCUCUGCAUCCCACAGCAGCUCCUGCAGCCCUCCUGUGGCUUCGGGACAGAACCAAGGAAUGGGUUUGAAAAUGUGUGUGGUGGAAAAUGCGUUGAGCCUCAAGUCAGAAGUCCUGGAGUCAGGCCCAGAUCUUCGACUCACUGGUUUUAUAAGCCCAGGCAAGUCUUAGUUUUUCUCUAUAAAAUCAUAUGCACCCUUCCUAUACCGUAGCAUUACCACGGGAAUCCAGCGGUAGUCAAACACGUGGAAACAAACCCAUGGAAAGCACAUGCACGCUUGAAAGCACUACUCCACCCAGCGGCUACUGCCAUCCACACAACUGGCUGCUCAACUUUGACUGGAAUUUAAUAUCCUCCUACAGGGUCAAGAUUUGAACACCAGUUCUGAUUUGGGUCAUCACACACUGCAGCACUCAGAAGUCAAAGGGCGGAAGAAACCCCUCUAAGGAGCCAGAGAGCUGUGAUUCUUGGAUCUUUUCAACUUCUGCCUUGCCUGUGGUUCAGAUGGAUGCCACUGCAAAAUGGAGGAGCUGCUGUCCUUACUCAUGAAUUCAAAACCCGGACUCUACUGGGAAGCCAGCCACGAUCCCUAACUCGGUUCUCUCCUGCCUGGGGACCCCGUGAGAGGACACAUCAAAGCUGGAGCUGAUGGAAACAGCACCUAGAAGACAAAUGGAAUUAGUCCCUGCCUCCAGUCCCUCCAUUAAAUCUCCCAAUGGAGCCACUGAUGGCAUUCUAGUGGCAACACAGGGCCCUCAAGACCACAAGCAAGCAGACACACCGCCCAGAAGGAUUUCUGUGGGGCUUUGCUGGUCCUGCCCGAGUGUUUAUCCAGCAGGCUACUCUUCCUGAGGAGCCAGGUGAGCUCACGGGACCCACUGCAGAGCCUCACUCAGAGUGGGCACCUCAGAUCUGCUGAUUCAGCUGGAAUGGAAGCAUCCUGCAGGUGUGUACCAGGGAAAGAGCAGGACAGGCCCCUGGGAACUUGCUAGGUGGCACAGAGAGGUCAGGCUGGACUUUAAAAUUUUCCACAAAAACUCACAAACAGAGUGAGCUACAUUUGGAUAACAUAAUUGUUUUCAACUGGGGAUAAUUUGGGCCCCCCAAGGAUAUUUGGCAAUGUCCAGAGGUAUUUUUAGUUGUCAUAACUUGGCGGGUGGAGCUACUGACUUCUAGUAAGCAGAGGCCAAGGAUGCUUCCAAAUAUCCUACCCUUGGCCAGGUGCGGUGGCUGAUAUCGGUAAUCCCAACACUUUAGGAGGCCGAGGUGAUAGGAUCCCUUGAGCCCAGGAGUUUAAGGCCAGCCUAGGCAACGUAGUCAGACCCUGUCUCUAUAAAAGUAUGGAAAAAAAAUUAGCCAGGCAUGGUGGUGCAUGCCUGUAGUCCCAGGUACUCAGGAGGAUGAGGUGGGAGGAUCACUGGAGCCCAGGAAGUCGAGAUUCCAGUAAGCUGUGAUUGUGCCAACUGCACUCCAGGCUGAGUGACAGAGUGAGACCCUGUCUAUAAAUUAAUACAUUAAAAGUAAUAAAUAUUCUACAAUGGACAGAACAGCACCACAACACAGAAUUAUCUGGCCCCGGAUGUCAAGAGUGCUCAAAUGCUGGGAAUCCCUGGGAUCAUGGAGGGCUGACUGGAAGAGGAGGAGGAAGAAGGAUUUAGUGACCUACAGAAUUUGGGCUGGAGGUGCAGCUUGUCACAUGCCACUAACCUUCCUGACUCUCCAACGGCUCCUCCAGCAUUGGGAUUAAAAUCCAGCCUCUCUGAAGGCUUCUGCCUGCCUCCCUCUGGGUCUUUCACUGCCUUGCUGUGGCCCUGCAGACACACUGGCCUUCUUGUGGUUCUUCUGACAUGCCAUCCUCUUACCAGCCCAGGACUUGCUCUUGCCCUGGUCCCUCUGCCCAUGAUACUCCCCUCUUCUCCUGCCCAGCAGCUCCCUUGCAGCCUUCAGGUGGAGGCCUUCCCUGGGCACCCCUUUGAAGCUGGCACUGCCCUACGUGUGUCCACCCAUGGACUCUGAGAUCCAGGAGGGUGAGGACCAGGUCUGCUUUACUUCUCACUGGAUUCCAUACCUAGCACAGUAAAACCAAUGAAAGAAAGAACCAUUUGUGAGUAUGUAGAAGAGAAAGCAGAGACUAUUAAGAGCUGUUUUAAUAAUUCAGGAAGAAGGGCUGGAUGCGGUGGCUCACACCUGUAAUCUCAGCACUUUGGGAAGCCGAGGCAGGUGGACUGCUUGAGCUCAGGAGGCCAAGACCAGCCUGGCAACAGGGCAAGACCCUAUCUCCAUAAAACAUACAAAAUAUAGUUGGGUGUGGUAGCAUGUGCCUUUAGUUUCAGCUGUUUGGGAGGCUGAGGUGGGAGGAUGGCUUGAGCCCAAGAGGUAGAGGUUACAGUGAGCUGAGAUUGUGCCAAUGUACUCCAGCCUGGGUGACAGAGCUAGAUCCUGUCUAAAAAACAAAACAAAAACCGAACAAAAAAACCCCCAAAUGAAUAAAGCAUUCAGGAAGAAAAAGGGGUCAUAUUUUAAACACAAUUCGUUUAUCUAAUCAACUGAUAUCUGUUGCAUACCCUUUAGGUGCUUAUAUUUUACUUAUUUUAUUUUUGGAGAUGAAGUUUCACUCUUGUCGCCCAGGCUGGAGUGCAGUGGUGCGAUCUCGGCUCACUGCAACCUCUCCCUCCCAGGUUCAAGUGAUUCUCCUGCCUCAGCCUCCUGAGUUGCUGGGAUUACAGGUGCCUGUCAUCAUGCCCAGCUAAUGUUUGGUAUUUUUAGUAGAGACAGGGUUUCACCAUAUUGCUCAGGCUGGUCUUGAACUCCUGACCUCAGGUGAUCCACUGCGUGGGCCUCCCAAAGUGCUGGGAUUACAGGUGUGAGCCACUGUACCUGGCCGCUUAUAUUUUAUUAAAAGGAUUGUUGGAGGAGUAGAUCAAGGAAAGGCAGGGCAUUUCAGCAAGGCAUUCUACAAAAUUCACACAAAAACCUGUCCAUGAAUGUUCACAGCAGCAUUAUUCAUAAUAGCCAUAAAGUAGAAACAGUCCAAAUGUCUAUCAGUGGACGAAUAAACAAAUCCGGUACAUCCAUACACUGGAAUCUUAUUUGGCCAUAAAAGGAAUGAAAUAUUGAUACAGGCUGCAAUGUGGAUGAACCUUAAAACCACUAUGCCAAGUGAAAGAAGACAGUCCCCAGAGGGUAAAUAUGAUUCCGCUUAUAUGAGAUGUCCAGAUUAGAGCCAUCUAUAGAUAAAGCAGAUUAGCGCUUGCUUCGGGCUGCAGCUGGGGUUGACUUAGAGGUAAACUGGGCACGACUGUUAAUGGGUAUGAUGUUUCCUUUCGGGAUGAUGAAAAUGUUCUGAAAUUGGUAUGGCAAGAAUGGACAACCCUGGGAAUAUACUAAAAGACACUGAAUCAUACAAUGUAGAUGGGCAAAAGCUGUGUGAAUUAUAUCUCAAUAAAGCUGUUUUUAUCUGUGUUUAUAUGUGUUUGUGAAUUAUCUAUCAUUAAAGCUGUUACAUACGCAGAGAUGCAAAGUAUAUAAAACACACACACAAUCCUUGGCUGGCUUUAUUGGUUUUUGUGGAAAACAUGAGUGGCAGAGGAUAAGCCAGAGAA